rnacentral:rRNA from 1 species
AGCGAACGCUGGCGGCAGGCUUAACACAUGCAAGUCGAGCGGGCACUUUCGGGUGUCAGCGGCGGACGGGUGAGUAACGCGUGUGAACGUGCCCUCUGGUUCGGAAUAACUCAGGGAAACUUGAGCUAAUACCGGAUACGCCCUUUUGGGGAAAGGCUUGCUGCCGGAGGAUCGGCCCGCGUCUGAUUAGCUAGUUGGUGAGGUAACGGCUCACCAAGGCGACGAUCAGUAGCUGGUCUGAGAGGAUGAUCAGCCACACUGGGACUGAGACACGGCCCAGACUCCUACGGGAGGCAGCAGUGGGGAAUAUUGGACAAUGGGCGCAAGCCUGAUCCAGCCAUGCCGCGUGAGUGAUGAAGGCCUUAGGGUUGUAAAGCUCUUUUAUCCGGGACGAUAAUGACGGUACCGGAGGAAUAAGCCCCGGCUAACUUCGUG